ensembl:lncRNA
AAAAAACCAAGAAGGGUAUGAUAAGAGAAUGGUAAUUCUUCAAAAUAUUAAAGAUAGAAUCACCAUAUAACCUGGCAAUUCCACUUCCGGGUAUUCAUCCAAAAGAUUUGAGAGCAAGGACUCAAACAGAUAUUUGCACACCCAUGCUCACAGCAGCGUUGUUCACAACUGCUUAAUGGUGCAAGCAACCCAGUCUGAAUGGAUGGGUGGAUAAACACAAUGUGAUGUGUACCUACCGUGGAAUAUUCUUCAGUAUUAAAGAGGAAGGAGUCCUGACAUGUGCUGCCACAUGGAUGAAGCUUGAGAACCUUAGAACACAGGACAGAUGCCCAGAAUCCUCCAUCUCAGAGAUGCUGCAGCUGCUGCUGCACCUGCUGUGGGCAGGACAGGAGAAGGUGCUGGACACGGAAGCCUGAAAGGAAUGGACAGACACGGGGACACCAUGAUCACUGUCUCCCAGACCUCUCUCUCCCAUCCCCAACACAACCGUGCACUUUAGGGAAGCACUUUGCUGAGUUGACCCUGACACUACGCAGAGAAACAAAUGAGCAAACUUAUUCACCUCUCACUUCUACUCUUCCAAACUAUUCCCUAUGGCUAUGAGGGAGUAGAGACAGGGAGAGGAAAGACAUAUAUACAUAAUUUUUUUUACCAGAAUUAAAGCAAUACUUGAUCCAAAACUCUGCUACUUGUGUAUUUACCUGUAUGUAGAUUUCGGAAGCCUGUCAUUGGGCACAUACUCAUCACCUGCGGUGUAAUUUAUCAUUAGGAUGCAAGGCCAGUCUACAGCACUUACGUGAGAUGCACAGUCUUGCCUCCAAGGACUCACUUUCUAAGGUUGAAGCUUAAAUACAUGGUUAAAGAAACUUGUCUUCCCGCCUGCUCUCUGCUCACCUCCAAUCUGUCUCCAAACAGAAGCCAAAAUGAAUUCUAAAAACCCAAUGAUGUCUCUUUUAUGCUUCCAACCCUCCAGUGGCUCCCAGCUGCCAAACAGAAACAGCCCAAAUCCUUUAAGAUGAGCCCAAGGUGUCACACGGUCCAUCUUAUUUGGCCUAGGGGGACCUCUUUCUAAUGACUAGAACACAUCACAAACCAAAUGCCAACACAUGCACAGAGGUACACACAAAUUUGUUCAUUUAUUCUAUCAAAGGAUAAUUUUGUUGAAAGGUAAAAUCAUGACUGUCACAUAGAUAUAAAAUGAACAGGAGCUAAAGAUUUUUUUUAUGGUGGGAAAAACACCACAUAACUUGAGAUCUACGCUCUUCAACAAUUUUUACAUGUGUGGUAGUGUUAGCUAUAGGCACUAUAUGGUACAGUGGAUCUCUAGAAAUUUUUCCCCUUCCAUGACUGAAAUUUAUACUCAUUGAACAGCAACUCAUUUUAUAUAACUCACUAAUGGGAGAACCAGGCAUAAACGGAAGAUGUGCAUAUGUAUAUGGAGUAAAGUAGUGUUGAAAUGAAUUUGUGAAUGCAUGUGAAAGUGGCAUGGUGGGGGGAUUCAAGCAGCCUCCCAGUGAACAGAAUGUGCAUGUCUGUGGCCAUGAGCUAUUUGCAUUGCUAUUAAUUGUACACAAAUUUUAGCAUUGUAAAACAGCUCAAAGGCAAUAAAAUGCUAUAUUCAAAUAACUCCAGAAGAGAAUGCUCUAAAGAACGCAUAGUUUUCCAUUGAAGACAGCCAGUCAUCUCAUCUUGCUUCUUCUGAAUUUACUUAAAAAUCUUAAAUCAAAUAUUUAUUGAUCAUCUAAUAUAUGCCAAGCAGUUUUCUAGGCAGAAUAGAUUCCGCAGUGAAUGGAAGAGAUACAAGAGCCUUUGUAAAGCUUACAUUUUAAUGGCAGGAGAGACAGCCAAAGAAUAAUUAUGUAGAUUAUAUAGAUUAUAUUGACUGGUGAUAAGGAGUUUGGACAAAAAUGAAACAUGAAAGAUAAUAUAGGGAAUAUGGGAAAGAUUAUACUCUUCAGUAUGUUCCGUGGACAUUAACAUUGAGAAACUGACAUUUGAGUAUGUACACAUAUGCUCACACACAGUAGGCACUUUACACAGACACACACAGCUUAGACAUGCACACAGAAACACCACAGAUGCACAUAUAUAUGCAGACAGAGGCACAUAUGAUACGGCUCAACUCAAGGUUGACAUAAGAGAAGCCAUAUUGUAGAAAGGAAACCAUAUUGUAACUUUAAGUGUCCUCUGACUGCCUAGCGCCAGACAUGCUUUGUAGAUUUUGUGGCCCCUCUCAGCUGUUCUAAGUUGCUAACUGUUCUUUUGAGUUCCUUAGGAAUGUGAUGAGCCCAGGGCAGAGAGCCUAUGCUGAUAGCCCUCAUCAAGGACAAGUGAAAGACCAGGGUGUGGGGCAUUUCUCCAUUCUGAUGCGUAUCCAGUAAAACAAAGGACUAUCAGGAACUGGGACCAGAUGUCUGCCCCCAUGCUGAGACAAGCCGCCUCCCCCACCUGGAGAAUAGCUCCUUCUGUGAUGGGCCUGUAGUCUUUGUUCGGGAGAUGUUUCUUUUGGAUAUGAGUCGGCCAUCUUCCCUCUUGCUAGCAAGCUGUAAUAAAGUCCUUUCUCUCCUACCA